AAACCAACAGGGAUUGCCUUAGUAACGGCGAGUGAAGCGGCAAAAGCUCAAUUUGAAAACGCUUCGGCGUGUUGUAAGUAAAGUGGUUAGACGCUUUUUAAUAAGUCCCUUGGAACAGGGCGCCAUAGAGGGUGAUAGCCCCGUAUUAAAUUGUCUAGUGUGCUACUUUAGAGCGAGUCGAGUUGUUUGGGAAUGCAGCUCAAAUAGGUGGUAAACUCCAUCUAAAGCUAAAUAUUGCUGGGAGACCGAUAGCGAACAAGUACAGUGAUGGAAAGAUGAAAAGCACUUUGAAAAGAGAGUGAAAUAGCGUGUGAAAUUGUUGGAGGGGAAGGCGAUGGUAGGAAUAAGAGGCUGCGGUUUGAAAUAAUUAUUUUUCGGGCCACGGUCUCCUGAGCCUGCUUUCGCAC
rnacentral:rRNA from 1 species